rnacentral:rRNA from 1 species
GAUGAACGCUGGCGGCGUGCCUAAUACAUGCAAGUCGAGCGAACAGACGAGGAGCUUGCUCCUCUGACGUUAGCGGCGGACGGGUGAGUAACACGUGGAUAACCUACUUAUAAGACUGGGAUAACUUCGGGAAACCGGCGCUAAUACCGGAUAAUAUAUUGAACCGCAUGGUUCAAUAGUGAAAGACGGUUUUGCUGUCACUUAUAGAUGGAUCCGCGCUGCAUUAGCUAGUUGGUAGGGUAACGGCUUACCAAGGCGACGAUGCUUAGCCGACGUGAGGGGGUGAUCGGCCACAGUGGAGCUGAGACGCGAUCCAGACUCCUACGGGAGGCAGCAGUAGGGAAGCGACCGAGAUGGGCGAAAGCCUGACGAAGCGGCGCAGCGUGGAUGAUGAAGGGCUGCGGGUCGUAAAACGCUGUUAUUGGGGAAGAACAAAUGUGUAAGUGACUAUGCGCGUGUGAACGGUACCUAAUCAGAAGGCCACGGCUAACUACGG